rnacentral:tRNA from 1 species
GGGCGAUUAGCUCAGUUGGUUCAGAGCGCCUGCCUUACAAGCAGGAGGUCACUGGUUCGAAUCCAGUAUCGCCCACAA